CCCUAGUAACGGCGAGUGAAGCGGCAACAGCUCAAAUUUGAAAUCUGGCUCUUUUAGAGUCCGAGUUGUAAUUUGCAGAGGGCGCUUUGGCUUUGGCAGCGGUCCAAGUUCCUUGGAACAGGACGUCACAGAGGGUGAGAAUCCCGUACGUGGUCGCUAGCUAUUGCCGUGUAAAGCCCCUUCGACGAGUCGAGUUGUUUGGGAAUGCAGCUCUAAAUGGGAGGUAAAUUUCUUCUAAAGCUAAAUAUUGGCCAGAGACCGAUAGCGCACAAGUAGAGUGAUCGAAAGAUGAAAAGCACUUUGGAAAGAGAGUCAAACAGCACGUGAAAUUGUUGAAAGGGAAGCGCUUGCAGCCAGACUUGCUUGCAGUUGCUCAUCCGGGCUUUUGCCCGGUGCACUCUUCUGCAGGCAGGCCAGCAUCAGUUUGGGCGGUGGGAUAAAGGUCUCUGACACGUUCCUUCCUUCGGGUUGGCCAUAUAGGGGAGACGUCAUACCACCAGCCUGGACUGAGGUCCGCGCAUCUGCUAGGAUGCUGGCGUAAUGGCUGUAAGCGGCCCGUCUUGAAACACGGACCAAGGAGUCUAACAUCUAUGCGAGUGUUUGGGUGUCAAGCCCGAGCGCGUAAUGAAAGUGAACGGAGGUGGGAACCCGCAAGGGUGCACCAUCGACCGAUCCUGAAGUUUACGGAAGGAUUUGAGUAAGAGCAUGGCUGUUGGGACCCGAAAGAUGGUGAACUAUGCUUGAAUAGGGUGAAGCCAGAGGAAACUCUGGUGGAGGCUCGCAGCGGUUCUGACGUGCAAAUCGAUCGUCAAAUUUGGGCAUAGGGGCGAAAGACUAAUCGAACUAUCUAGUAGCUGGUUC
rnacentral:rRNA from 1 species